UGGGGAAUAUUGCACAAUGGGGGAAACCCUGAUGCAGCGACGCCGCGUGAGUGAAGAAGUAUUUCGGUAUGUAAAGCUCUAUCAGCAGGGAAGAUAAUGACAGUACCUGACUAAGAAGCCCCGGCUAACUACGUGCCAGCAGCCGCGGUAAUACGUAGGGGGCAAGCGUUAUCCGGAUUUACUGGGUGUAAAGGGAGCGUAGACGGAAUGGCAAGUCUGAAGUGAAAACCCCGGGCUCAACCUGGGGACUGCUUUGGAAACUGUUGUUCUAGAGUGUUGGAGAGGUAAGUGGAAUUCCUGGUGUAGCGGUGAAAUGCGUAGAUAUCAGGAAGAACACCGGUGGCGAAGGCGGCUUACUGGACGAUAACUGACGUUGAGGCUCGAAGGCGUGGGGAGCAAACAGGAUUAGAUACCCUGGUAGUCCACGCGGUAAACGAUGAAUACUAGGUGUCGGGGGACAUAGUCUUUCGGUGCCGCCGCUAACGCAUUAAGUAUUCCACCUGGGGAGUACGUUCGCAAGAAUG
rnacentral:rRNA from 1 species